rnacentral:pre_miRNA from 1 species
CGUGCACUGGUGGGGUCCCUCAGCCUGGCCUGUGCCCUCUUGCAACCAGGGACCCCUCGGGGGAUGUCGGAGAGCCUGUUUUAGCCCAAUCUCUGCAGGCCAGGCUGAGGAACCCCACCAGUGCACG